UGACAAAAUAAAAUGUUGGGUUUUGUCAGAAAAUAGUCGUGGAAUGCAACGGGCUGGAAAAUAGCAAGGGAAAGUAUAGAGAUGGAAACAGGGAAAGUAACCGUUGAUAAAGUAGGAGGAAAAUCAACAGUGACAAGAUGCUUCUCCAAGUAUCCUCUCAAAUUCAUUAUACCCACAAAGGUGGGUCCUUCCAAAACUGAUGCUGUUUGGAUUUACACACUCACCUAUGGUGGUGGUAUUGUCUCUGGAGACUCCAUAUCAUGUGAAUUUAUCAUUGGACAUGGAUGUACUGCUGUCCUAACAACCCAAGCUUCUACCAAGGUGUACAAGUCCUUGGGGUCCAAGUGUUCUGAACAAAUUCUUGAGGCAAGAAUUGGCAGUGAUUCCCUUUUGGCUGUCAUUCCAGAUCCAGUGACAUGUUUUUCAACUGCAAGAUACUCUCAGAAACAAAUCUUUAGAGUACUAUCAGACUCAAGUUUGGUAGUUGUUGAUUGGAUCACUAGUGGCCGCCAUGAAAGUGGAGAAAAAUGGGAUUUUGAACUUUAUAAGAGCAGCAACAACAUUUUCUUGGAUGACGAUCAACCUUUGUUUCUUGAUACUGGAAUUGCUGGUGUUUUUCGGUCUUUGUUUCGCAUGGCCAGUAAUAUUUCUGGUAUUGCUAGAGCAAGGAAGCGCUGGCAUUAUCAGAGAACGUAUGCGAGACUACCAAGUUAUUGCAAUGGUUAUACUCUUGGGGCCAAAGCUGAAGCACAUUCAAAGUCAAGUUCAAGAAAAUGUGAAAAGGAUAAUGUCUGAACAGUUGCAUAUGCCUUUUUCUGGAUUGAGCGGAAACGUAAAAUCAAAUUCCAGCACUUUCUUCACCAAGCCACCUUUUAUUGCAUCCUGCAGCUUAUUUGGUCCUAAGGGAAUAGGCAUUGUUGUCAGAAUAGCUGCCAUGACAACGGAAUCAGUGUACAGGUUCUUGCAACAUCAACUGGCUGACAUGGAGCCUCUUAUUGGGGUUUUACCGUAUCGUUGAACAAGCUUAAUGAUUUUUUUUUUUUCUUUUUCUUUUUCUGUCAUAACUUAUGAUGUAGUUCUGUAUUGCUGCUAGAAUUUUGCCGGUUAUCAUGGUCUCUGUGUGUUCUAUUGCUGCUGCCUUGCAUAUCUUCAAUCAGAAUAACAUCUCCCGGCACAUUCCCCUUCUUUAAAAUUUAGACAACUGAGGUUAGAGAACUGCCGGACAAUUUCACGGUGAUAUAUUGCAGAGCUUAUAAGUGGUAAACUCCAAAUAAUAAAGUGCUUGGUUUUAGUCUUGAUCUUGUUUGGAUUUCGAGCUCAAUUAAACCAAAUGUUAUCUA